UACGAAGGGGGCUAGCGUUGCUCGGAAGCACUGGGCGUAAAGCGCACGUAGGCGGAUUGUUAAGUCAUGGGGGAAAUCCUGGAGCUCAACUCCAGAACUGCCUUUGAUACUGGCGAUCUCGAGUCCGGGAGAGGUGAGUGGAACUGCGAGUGUAGAGGUGAAAUUCGUAGAUAUUCGCAAGAACACCAGUGGCGAAGGCGGCUCACUGGCCCGGUACUGACGCUGAGGUGCGAAAGCGUGGGGAGCAAACAGG
rnacentral:rRNA from 1 species